CAUGGGGGAACCCUGAUGCAGCGACGCCGCGUGAGCGAAGAAGUAUUUCCCGUAUGUAAAGCUCUAUCAGCAGGGAAGAAGAAAUGACGGUACCUGACUAAGAAGCACCGGCUAAAUACGUGCCAGCAGCCGCGGUAAUACGUAUGGUGCAAGCGUUAUCCGGAUUUACUGGGUGUAAAGGGAGCGCAGGCGGGAAGACAAGUUGGAAGUGAAAUCUAUGGGCUCAACCCAUAAACUGCUUUCAAAACUGUUUUUCUUGAGUAGUGCAGAGGUAGGCGGAAUUCCCGGUGUAGCGGUGGAAUGCGUAGAUAUCGGGAGGAACACCAGUGGCGAAGGCGGCCUACUGGGCACCAACUGACGCUGAGGCUCGAAAGUGUGGGUAGCAAACAGGAUUAGAUACCCUGGUAGUCCAAGGGCGAAUUC
rnacentral:rRNA from 1 species